UGUCAAUGUGGUUCCCCACCUGGACAGAGAGACAGACAGGCAACAAUUUUCGAGCAGCGUCCUCGGCCAUCAUCAGCAGCGGUCCUGAACAGGGCCAACCGGGCUCAAGGUCCAUCCCUGCACGUCCUGCUAACAGUGUCUCUGUGUUACCUGACAGCAGCCAUCUCCUCCUCAGUGAACUGACGAGCCGCCGCAUCGCUCAGCA